UGAACGCUGACAGAAUGCUUAACACAUGCAAGUCUUUGGCGAAGCUGUGCUUGCACAGCCUAGCCAAGGCGGACGGGUGAGUAACGCGUAAGGAACUUGCCCUGCAGUCAGGGAUAACAGACGGAAACGACUGAUAAGACCUGGUAAAGUCAGGCGGACUCAUGUCCAGCCUGAUGAAAAGAGAUGCUGCAGGAGAGCCUUGCGUCCUAUUAGCUUGUUGGUGGGGUAACGGCCCACCAAGGCGAUGAUAGGUAGCCGGCCUGAGAGGGUGGACGGCCACAAGGGGACUGAGAUACGGACCUUACUCCUACGGGAGGCAGCAGUGGGGAAUAUUGGACAAUGGGGGCAAACCUGAUCCAGCAAUUCUGUGUGCACGAUGAAGGUUUUCGGAUUGUAAAGUGCUUUCAGCAGGGAAGAAAAAAUGACGGUACCUGCAGAAGAAGCGACGGCUAAAUACGUG
rnacentral:rRNA from 1 species